rnacentral:rRNA from 1 species
GACGAACGCUGGCGGCGUGCUUAACACAUGCAAGUCGAACGGAAAGGCUCCAGCUUGCUGGAGUACUCGAGUGGCGAACGGGUGAGUAACACGUGGGUAAUCUGCCCUGCACUCUGGGAUAAGCCUGGGAAACUGGGUCUAAUACUGGAUAUGACCUUUCUCCUUAUGGGGUUUGGUGGAAAGUUUUUCGGUGUAGGAUGAGCCCGCGGCCUAUCAGCUUGUUGGUGGGGUGAUGGCCUACCAAGGCGACGACGGGUAGCCGGCCUGAGAGGGUGAUCGGCCACAUUGGGACUGAGAUACGGCCCAGACUCCUACGGGAGGCAGCAGUGGGGAAUAUUGCACAAUGGGCGGAAGCCUGAUGCAGCGACGCCGCGUGAGGGAUGACGGCCUUCGGGUUGUAAACCUCUUUCAGCAGGGACGAAGCGUAAGUGACGGUACCUGCAGAAGAAGCACCGGCUAACUACG